AUUGAACGCUGGCGGCAGGCUUAACACAUGCAAGUCGAGCGGGGUGAUGGUGCUUGCACUAUCACUUAGCGGCGGACGGGUGAGUAAUGCUUAGGAAUCUGCCUAUUAGGGGGGGACAACAUCUCGAAAGGGAUGCUAAUACCGCAUACGUCCUACGGGAGAAAGCAGGGGAUCACUUGUGACCUUGCGCUAAUAGAUGAGCCUAAGUCGGAUUAGCUAGUUGGUGGGGUAAAGGCCUACCAAGGCGACGAUCUGUAGCGGGUCUGAUGGGAUGAUCCGCCACACUGGGACUGGGACACGGCCCAGACGCCUACGGGAGGCAGCAGUGGGGAAUAUUGGACAAUGGGGGGAACCCUGAUCCAGCCAUGCCGCGUGUGUGAAGAAGGCCUUAUGGUUGUAAAGCACUUUAAGCGAGGAGGAGGCUCUUUUGGUUAAUACCCAAGAUGAGUGGACGUUACUCGCAGAAUAAGCACCGGCUAACUCUGUGCCAGCCGCCGCGGUAA
rnacentral:rRNA from 1 species